rnacentral:rRNA from 1 species
CCCGCAGUAGUCAUAUGCUUGUCUCAAAGAUUAAGCCAUGCAUGUCUAAGUACAUGCCGUAUUAAGGCGAAACCGCGAAUGGCUCAUUAAAUCAGUUAUGGUUCCUUGGAUCGUACCUUACUACUUGGAUAACUGUGGCAAUUCUAGAGCUAAUACAUGCAGCAGAGCUCCGACCUUCGGGAACGAGCGCUUUUAUUAGACCAAAACCAAUCGGGCCUCGUGUCCGUCUCUUGUGGUGACUCUGUAUAACUUUGGGCUGAUCGCACGGGCUCGUCCCGGCGACGUAUCUUUCAAGUGUCUGCCUUAUCAACUGUCGAUGGUAGGUUACGCGCCUACCAUGGUCGUAACGGGUGACGGGGAAUCAGGGUUCGAUUCCGGAGAGGGAGCCUGAGAAACGGCUACCACAUCCAAGGAAGGCAGCAGGCGCGCAAAUUACCCACUCCCAGCACGGGGAGGUAGUGACGAAAAAUAACAAUACGGGACUCUUUUGAGACCCCGUAAUUGGAAUGAGUACACUCUAAAUCCUUUAACGAGGAUCCAUUGGAGAGCAAGUCUGGUGCCAGCAGUCGCGGUAAUUCCAGCUCCAAUAGCGUAUAUUAAAGUUGUUGCGGUUAAAAAGCUCGUAGUUGGAUCUCAGCUCCGGCCGGACGGUCCGCCUACCGGUGGUUACUGUUCGCUGCCGAGCGUUCAGGGGGCUUCUGUCUAUGAUCUUCACCGGUUGUGGGCGGAGACCCUCACGUUUACUUUGAAAAAAUUAGAGUGCUCAAAGCAGGCGCGACGCCUGAAUAAUUGUGCAUGGAAUAAUGGAAUAGGACCUCGGUUCUAUUUUGUUGGUUUUCGGAACACGAGGUAAUGAUUAAGAGGGACAGACGGGGGCAUUCGUAUUGCGACGCUAGAGGUGAAAUUCUUGGACCGUCGCAGAC